GCCUUCAGUAAUUGACCGGCGGCCGUCGCCAUCACUGCAUCAGCUGACCUGUUGUCUAACCUCCCGCUCGUUGUUCGACUUUGCUCGACGAUAUGACCGGAUGUUGCUGUCUGUAACAUAGAAACGUCGAAGUGUGUCUCACAACUCAGUGCAAGGUGACUCAUCGGCUCUGUCCAUAAGGGCCACCUGUGACCUGCCUACAGUGCAACGCUGUGCCCUUGAGUCGUUAUAAUAUCCACUGACUUAAUUAUGCAGGUAUCUCUUUUGGAUAUCGGAAGCUCAACAACACGACUGCACUUCUCGAGAAACACAUCUUCAACUCUUUUAAAGAGCCUGGACCAUUGUCUCUAAGGGAGCAGACGUAGGAGACUUUAUGAGGACGUCGAAGGACCCUGCCUGGAAGGAGACAGCACAAAGGGGUGUUUUUAGAGCCGUUAACAAGACCAAACUCGAAUAUUUUCUGCGCAUCUCCUUUUGGAAAAAUUGUACUAGAGGGAGCUGCUGCCUCCUUCCUCACGGGAAACCAAAGACAACGCGCAGAACAAGUUAUUCUUGCUGGAAAACGGGGUGUCAUUUUUGUAAAAAAAAAUAAAUAUUGUGUUUGUUUGUAAAUGCCUGAUCAAUCUUGUGCACUCUCAAAGCUGGCCCUAAAAUCAAGCAGGUAAAGAUACAGGUAAAAGAGAGUGCUUUAUAAACUUCAGUUAUGAAGUGUCUGUGAAGGGUUGUGGUUUAUUAAACUACUCCCGAGCCAGAAAAAAUACGCCCUACAUCCGACAGGCUCUUGUUUUACUGGGAAAUUCUCUUUGCUUUGUUUACUAUGAGAUGGAUCAAAACAUUUGUUUGUCUGUCUUUUAAAUUGUCCAGUUUGGAUUCCUGCUCGUAUCCUAUUGUACAUUAACUCUUUGUCUGUUCCUGACUAAGAAAAUUUCUGUCAUACAUUGGUAAGGCUCUUGUUUUACUUGUUUUUUGUGUACCCUGUGAAAUUGGCUAACUCUUUCAUUUGGCAGUGUUUUUUUUUAACUUUUAUUUGGAGUUCUGCUCUUUUGCAGCCUUCGUCACAGUGAUAUGGAUAGCUACUGCUGUUUCUUGAGUGUAGUUUCUUUAAGUUAGGCUAAGCUUGUAGUUCACUUUCAUUGCUUUCUAUUGUCUUGUAGACAUUGAAGCAUUUUGUGUUCGUGGGGGUUGUCUUGUAGACAUUGGAGCAUUUUGUGUUCAUGAGGGUUGUCUUGCAGACACUGAGGCAUUUUGUGUUCAUGAGGGUUGUCUCGUAGACAUUGAAGCAUUUUGUGUUCAUGAGGGUUGUCUUGUAGACAUUGAAGGUUGUCUUGUAGUCGAAGACCAGGGACUUCAAAAGUUGCCACCUUUCUGCUGUUCAGGAACGUGCUUAAUUGUGAAUAGAUAGUGUCCCUUAUUAUCCAUCGGAGGGUUACUUAUUUGGCUAAUUCAUGUUUAGUCUCUGUAAUCCAUGUAUGGUUUGCAAAUUAGAUUUUCCAUUUUCUGUAUUCUCUUGAUUGUGUACUGCUUAGUACAUGAAAGGCUUCUUUUGCCCUUGAGGUUUGUGAACUUUCACUACCUCUUAUCUUUGUCGAGUGGCAAAAUCGUUAUGUAUUUUCCAUCUGUUAAGAAGUUGGUGGCCCUUGCACUACCCUAUUCUCAUGGACUUGACAGUUUACUCUUACCAAAACCUGAGUCAGUCAUAUGGUCUUUGUUCUAGUUAGAAAUUAGGUGUUAAAACACCAAUCUACAUUUUUUAGUAUAACAUGAGUGCUAUUAAUACCAAGCUUAUUUGUAACUUCAGGUCUCGACGCAAAAAUUCAAUGAGCAUAGUUGUAUUUAUUACGAGUUUUUCUGUUCAUGCUUUUGAAAGCAGCAGAGGAAGUGGAUUUGCAAAUGAACUGGUCUGGCCAUAUAGGUUUACGUAGCAAGCUGUGGUUGGAUUUUUAUUUGAAUCUUUCUCCUCUCAAAGACAUUUAAUCUUUCAACAACUAUUCUGUAACUUUGUUCCUUCUGCUAGAACUUUGAGUUCUAUGCCAAAUGUGAUGCUGGACCCAGUUCAUCAUUGGUCUUGCCAAAGGCUCGAUUUUUGCACCACCAGGUUUGUUAAUUACACUUUGCUGCAGGUGUGGGCUCACUGCUUUUACCCUAUGAGAUGUCAAGCGCAGUAGGAAAGUCCUUGCUUCUGGCUGCAGAUACUUUUUCUAGUUCAAACCUUUUAGAUGCUGUUGGAACUUCAAUUAAUAUAGUUCACAUGUCAGGAUUGUUUUACAGUUAUCUUACCGACAUAGCCAGCUUAAUGUUGUGGUGGUAAGAUUCUGCUUCGUAAAGAGGUGGUUUCACAGAGUAAAGCACAUUUGCUGGCCGUUUUUUGAGAUAAAAACUUUCCUUGACUCCUUGACGGUAUGGAUUGAAACUGCAUCUUUAGGUGUUACUGGUGCCUAUCAUUAUGUCUGACGUUGCCUGGUCGUCUUGAUCUUUCGUAGACUGGAUUAUAUCCCUCCUUCGAAGUACAUAUUUUGUUUUGUUUUUUAAGUUUUUGUCUAGCUUGUUCCCGAAUGCUGCUUUUUGUAUGCUUCAGAUGUUACUUUUGUUAACAACAGUUUUAUUUAAUUUACUUCAUACUAAGGUUGUUUCCAAGAGCAAAACUCGUUCUUGGAAGAUAUUGUUGGUUCAAAGCUGUUCCUAUACAGUAUUGAUUAAAACUGGAUUUUUUACGUGGCAAUGAUAACACCAAUGUCUGUCUGGUCUUUGAAUAUGAGCUUGUAUACUUUAAAUUUUUUUUAAGUGGUUUGGCAUGGUAGCUACCACACUUUCUUGUCCAGUUCCUGAAUGCACCUGUUUGUAUGCUUCAGAUGUUCCAUUUGUCAGCACCAGUAUUGUUAGUUAUUCCAGUUUUUCCUAGCUGAAGUACACUUCGUCAACCACAGGCUGAGUUACAGAUGAAACUUUCGAUCUCUUGAUUUGAAAACCACACUUGCUUGUUUUGUAAUAAUGGAUGGGUUUCGCUUUGGUGAAGGUUUAGUGUCCUGAUAAUCUGUCAUUUGUUGCCCAGACUGGCAGAAAAGGGUAUUUUUGAAGCUUUUGGCUUUAAUGCAAUUUUGAAACGGUUUGCAAGUCUAUCUAGUUUCAUUUAUAGUUUUGUCGAGUGUUUCACUGUAUAAAUACGAGUGAAAAAAUCACUAAUUGGAUUAUCAUGUAAUUAGCUAAAAUGAGAAAAUAUAUACAAUGUUCAAAGACGUAAGGUUCACAAGGUAUACUACAGAGAUGACUGUCCAUGGAAGUAUAAAGAAACUGAUCUGUUGAAGGGCAACGAACAAAUUAAAGUUGCUGGCAUUAAAGUGUUCAGAUACGGCCAGAAAUAAGUAGAUGUGCAGCACGGUAAAUUUAUUGUUAAACAGAUUAAAGCUAUUACCAAGUAUUCAGAGCCAGCUUUAGAAAUAUAAGGCCAGGAUUAAAGCUAUUACCAAGUAUUCAGAGCCAGCUUUAGAAAUAUUAGGCCAGGAAUAGAUUUGCAUUACUGUUGAAGGCCAAACUGACAUAAGUAUUCAGAUCAAAUAUUGCGCCAAAAUGGCAUUAAAGCAUCAAAGAAAAUUGGUUAAAAUAAAUGAAAAAAAGGUGGUUAUAUUUAUGACGUCACUGCUUGCCAGGUUGGUUAAAUUGAGUGACGUCAGUUACGUCAUGUAGAUAACCUUUUGCACAUGUCAUAGGUUAUGACGUUAGCAUUCGUGUACAAAAACUGCAGGCAGAUGACAUAGAACAGGGUACAAUGGAAAUUGUGACGUCUUAGUUAUGAUGUCACUGCUUACCAGCUUGGUUAAAUUAGGUGACGUCAUAAGUCAUGCAGGUAACCUUUUUCACAUAACGUCAUAGGUUAUGGCUUAAGCCAUCUUGUACAAAUUCUGUAGUUCAAUGAAAUAGAAAGGAAA